GAUGAAGAACGCAGCGAAAUGCGAUAAGUAAUGUGAAUUGCAGAAUUCAGUGAAUCAUCGAAUCUUUGAACGCACCUUGCACCCUUUGGUAUUCCGAAGGGUAUGCUCGUUUGAGUGUCAUUGUACUCUCACACUUCUAAUUCCUUUCGGGAUUGGGAGCGGUGGACUUGGGUGUUGCUGCUUUAGUUGUGGCUCACCUCAAAUAAGUUAGUGCAACUCUUGGUUGGACAUAGUACGGCGUGAUAAGUGUCUUCGCCGGCGCCUCUGUAAGGAGGGUGGCCGAUCGGGAGCUCUGUGCUUCAAACCGUCUUCGGACAAUCUUUGACAACUUGACCUCAAUCGAGUAGGACUACCCGCUGAACUUAAGCAUAUCAAUAAGCGGAGGA
rnacentral:misc_RNA from 1 species